ACACAUGCAGUCGAGCGGCAGCGGGUCCUUCGGGAUGCCGGCGAGCGGCGGACGGGUGAGUAAUGCCUAGGAAUCUGCCUAGUAGUGGGGGAUAACUCGGGGAAACUCGAGCUAAUACCGCAUACGUCCUACGGGAGAAAGCGGGGGAUCUUCGGACCUCGCGCUACCAGAUGAGCCUAGGUCGGAUUAGCUAGUUGGUGAGGUAAAGGCUCACCAAGGCGACGAUCCGUAGCUGGUCUGAGAGGAUGAUCAGCCACACUGGAACUGAGACACGGUCCAGACUCCUACGGGAGGCAGCAGUGGGGAAUAUUGGACAAUGGGCGAAAGCCUGAUCCAGCCAAGCCGCGUGUGUGAAGAAGGUCUUCGGAUUGUAAAGCACUUUAAGUUGGGAGGAAGGGCAUUAACCUAAUACGUUAGUGUUUUGACGUUACCGACAGAAUAAGCACCGGCUAACUUCGUGCCAGCAGCCGCGGUAAUACGAAGGGUGCAAGCGUUAAUCGGAAUUACUGGGCGUAAAGCGCGCGUAGGUGGUUUGUUAAGUUGAAUGUGAAAGCCCCGGGCUCAACCUGGGAACUGCAUCCAAAACUGGCAAGCUAGAGUAUGGCAGAGGGUGGUGGAAUUUCCUGUGUAGCGGUGAAAUGCGUAGAUAUAGGAAGGAACACCAGAGGCGAAGGCGACCACCUGGACUGAUACUGACACUGAGGUGCGAAAGCGUGGGGAGCAAACAGGAUUAGAUACCCUGGUAGUCCACGCCGUAAACGAUGUCAACUAGCUGUUGGGUUCCUUGAGAACUUAGUAGCGCAGCUAACGCGAUAAGUUGACCGCCUGGGGAGUACGGCCGCAAGGUUAAAACUCAAAUGAAUUGACGGGGGCCCGCACAAGCGGUGGAGCAUGUGGUUUAUUCGAAGCAACGCGAAGAACCUUACCUGGCCUUGACCUGCUGAGACUUUCCGAGAUGGAUGGGCCUUCGGGAAUCAGACCCAGGUGCUGCAUGGCUGUCGUCAGCUCGAGUCGUGAGAAGUUGGGUUAAAUUCCGUAACGAGCGCCACCCUUGUCCUUAGUUUCCAGCCCCUUGGGUGGGCCCUUUAAGGAGGCUUCCGGUGGCCAACCGGAGGAAGGUGGGGAAGACGUCAAGUUAUCCUGGCCCUUUCGGCCAAGGCUUCCCCCGUGGUUCCAUGGUUGGUACCGAGGGUUGCCCAACCCCGAGGUGGAAGUAAUUUCCCAAAACCGAUUGUAGUUCGGAUUGCCGUUUGCAAAUUGGCUGCGGGAGUUGGAAUUGGUUGAAUUCG
rnacentral:rRNA from 1 species